GACGAACGCUGGCGGCGUGCUUAACACAUGCAAGUCGAACGGUGAAGCGCCUUCCUUUUUGGUGGGUGUGGAUGAGUGGCGAACGGGUGAGUAACACGUGAGUAACCUGCCCCCUUCUUCUGGAUAACCGCAUGAAAGUGUGGCUAAUACGGGAUAUUCUGGGUCUGUCGCAUGAUGGGUCUGGGAAAGAUAUUGUUUCGGUGGGGGAUGGGCUCGCGGCCUAUCAGCUUGUUGGUGGGGUGAUGGCCUACCAAGGCGGUGACGGGUGGCCGGCCUGAGAGGGUGGACGGUCACACUGGGACUGAGACACGGCCCAGACUCCUACGGGAGGCAGCAGUGGGGAAUAGUGCACAAUGGGCGCAAGCCUGAUGCAGCGACGCCGCGUGAGGGAUGGAGGCCUUCGGGUUGUGAACCUCUUUCGCCAGUGAAGCAGGCCUGCCUCGUUUGUGGGUGGGUUGACGGUAGCUGGAUAAGAAGCGCCGGCUAACUACGUG
rnacentral:rRNA from 1 species